AACGGAGCGGAGAUGCUCUGGUGCCUUCGGGAGCUGUGAGACAGGUGCUGCAUGGCUGUCGUCAGCUCGUGUUGUGAAAUGUUGGGUUAAGUCCCGNAACGAGCGCAACCCUUAUCCUUUGUUGCCAUCGAUUUGGUCGGGAACUCAAAGGAGACUGCCGGUGAUAAACCGGAGGAAGGUGGGGAUGACGUCAAGUCAUCAUGGCCCUUACGGCCAGGGCUACACACGUGCUACAAUGGCGCAUACAAAGAGAAGCGACCUCGCGAGAGCAAGCGGACCUCAUAAAGUGCGUCGUAGUCCGGAUCGGAGUCUGCAACUCGACUCCGUGAAGUCGGAAUCGCUAGUAAUCGUGGAUCAGAAUGCCACGGUGAAUACGUUCCCGGGCCUUGUACACACCGCCCGUCACACCAUGGGAGUGGGUUGCAAAAGAAGUAGGUAGCUUAACCUUCGGGAGGGCGCUUACCACUUUGUGAUUCAUGACUGGGGUGAAGUCGUAACAAGGUAAGCGUAGCGAG
rnacentral:rRNA from 1 species